rnacentral:rRNA from 1 species
AACGAACGCUGGCGGCAUGCCUAACACAUGCAAGUCGAACGAGAUCUUCGUGUCUAGUGGCGCACGGGUGCGUAACGCGUGGGAAUCUGCCCUUUGGUUCGGAAUAACAGUUGGAAACGACUGCUAAUACCGGAUGAUGACGAAAGUCCAAAGAUUUAUCGCCAGGGGAUGAGCCCGCGUAGGAUUAGCUAGUUGGUGUGGUAAAGGCGCACCAAGGCGACGAUCCUUAGCUGGUCUGAGAGGAUGAUCAGCCACACUGGGACUGAGACACGGCCCAGACUCCUACGGGAGGCAGCAGUGGGGAAUAUUGGACAAUGGGCGAAAGCCUGAUCCAGCAAUGCCGCGUGAGUGAUGAAGGCCUUAGGGUUGUAAAGCUCUUUUACCCGGGAUGAUAAUGACAGUACCGGGAGAAUAAGCUCCGGCUAACUCCGUGCCAGCCGCCGCGGUAA